UACAGAGGGGGCAAGCGUUGUUCGGAAUUACUGGGCGUAAAGGGCGCGUAGGCGGCCUGCUAAGUCGGACGUGAAAUCCCUGGGCUCAACCCAGGAACUGCGUCCGAUACUGGUUGGCUUGAAUCCGGGAGAGGGAUGUGGAAUUCCAGGUGUAGCGGUGAAAUGCGUAGAUAUCUGGAGGAAUACCGGUGGCGAAGGCGGCAUCCUGGACUAAUACUGACGCUGAGGCGCGAAAGCUAGGGGAGCAAACGGG
rnacentral:rRNA from 1 species